AUCUGGAGGGAGAGAGAGGGGCGGGGGGAGAGAGCGCUUGCCAUGGGGUUAGGAGUAGUGUUUUGAGUAUAGAAGGACGAUCCUUCCCCAACACUGUGCUGUGCUUUACAGCCUAGCAUCACAUAGUGUUCAAUCACCACAGAUUUUGUUUACCUUGGUAACAAGUCAUUGAAGUGUGAGUAACUGAAAUGCACACGCCCUCCUCACCCAAGAGCAGAUUGAGUAACACAGGAAAGAGAGCUCCAGUGUAUAUGACAAGAGUAGAUGAUAUCUUAUUACUGUUUGAUGACGAGCAUGUUGAGCCAAACUCACAUGGCUGGCUGUAGGCAGAGAGAACCAAUGUGCAAGAUUGUGGCUCUGCUUGGUCUGAUGCCUUUCCAGAAAAAUUAAUCUUUGGCUUUUCAUCUACUGCCUUGAAAGUGUUCUCCUUAUUGUUAACUGAAAAUAAAACCUUACAUGAUUAAGCAUUA